ensembl:lncRNA
AGAAAUGAGGGAGGAGAAGGGAAGGAGGAGAAGGGGAUGAGGAGAAAGGAAGGAGGAGAAGGGAGGGAGGAGAAGGGAGGGAGGAGAAGGGGAUGCGGAGAAAGGAAGGAGGAGAAGGAGAUGGGGAGAAGGGGAUGAGGAGAAGGGAAGGAGGAGAAGGGGACGAGGAGAAGGGAAGGAGGAGAAGGGAGGGAGGAGAAGGGGACAAGGAGAAGGGAAGGAGGAGAAGGGAGGGAGGAGAAGGGGAUGAGGGGAAAGGAAGGAGGAGAAGGGGAUGAGGAGAAGGGAAGGAGGAGAAGGGAAGGAGGAGAAGGGAGGGAGGAGAAGGGGACGAGGAGAAGGGAAGGAGGAGAAGGGAGGGAGGAGAAGGGAGGGAGGAGAAGGGAAACGGUUGUAACGAGAUUGAGAGAAAAAGGGAGAGUCGGCCUUAUUUGAUGCGAUGGUGUGUUUGAUGAUCACACAAAUCAAGUCGCGUAUGAAAUGAUGACACACACACACGGGUUGUUCUGUUAACGCAACACAAAGUUAGAAAGCUCUCAGCAUCGCACAUUUGAAAUAGCUGGACUUCUAAUAUUUUUCUCGUCUAAAUUCUGCCCCACAUUAGAACAAAUAAACAUGUAACUCUGUCUCACACUUUGACACAAACUCAUUUCCUCCCGACGAGGCAGGCUUCGUUUUAAAAAACAAACGAAACCACAAACAAAGCCUUGACUAAACGUUGCAGACGCACACUCGCACGCAGACCAACAACAAUCGGGGGCCGACGCAGACAGAAUGUCACAACCCCUUUGUAGUGUGUAAUGGUUCUCAUAAGGGGGCGAGGAGGGGCCACGGCUUCAAUUGUGACAUAAACACUGACGGGAAAACGCACACACACACACACACACACACACACACAUUAGAGCCGGCGGUUAGAGUCCGCCUCCGUGUUACUCGCCAUGUGGUGAUGUGGUGAUGCAGUGUGAAAGGGCACGAGUGCUAACAGUGGCGCUAUCGCUAGCAUGAGCAUUAGCAUCAAGCGCUGCACGAUAACCUCUGCGUUGCCUCGUUUUAGCAUUAGCAUCAACAGCAACGUGAGAGCAAGCGUUAGCAUUAGCCGCCGGCUCCCAGCACUGUGUCAGUGGUUUGAAUGCGGACAAAAAACCAUCCUGAAUUUGCGCCUGACACAAUGAUGAAUUCUUGCUUUGCUCAGUGAAUCAUCAGCGAUGUGCUGGAGUUAGCUGCUCAUCUCAUGCUUCGUUAUUGCGACAACGACACGUUAAUUAAUGCAACGACUGAGGGAUCUCGGUGUUUCCGCCUUCAUCGUGCAGUUCAGAAAGCGCCGAUGAGCGGCGCGUUGCGUUUUCUCCAGACUCUGUCACGCCAUACGGCGAAACAACAGGGGUGAGAGGGGGACGCGGAGGUUGGGAGGGGUUACGGUUGUUGGUUUAGCCCCCACUGGCUGCAUUUCGCCUCCCAUGGGCCUAUUUUACAUACUUUUCUCCCAGACUUCACAAACAAACGAGGAGCACAAUUAGUGCUGAGUGUGUGUGUGUGUGCACGUGAAUGAAGAGCGUGGGAGCCGGAAUGAUGUUUCCGUCUGAGCGAUUGAGUUGUGCGGACACACUCGCUCACGUGAGGCCGUGCACGUCCCCUCACGCUAAACGUCAUCUAAUGUGCUUCAUCCUCAGCUAUCGGAACACACGCAAAGAGCGUUACCGCUGUCAACAAGCGAGCAUGGGAUGUGGAACCGCCGUUUUCAUUCUCAAUAUGUCAAGGUUAGGGUGUAUUCCGGCAUGAGAGCGAGGCGGGAAGGGAAGGGGGGGGGGGGGGGGGGG